rnacentral:tRNA from 1 species
GCUGACAUAGCUCAGUUGGUAGAGCACAUCACUCGUAAUGAUGGGGUCGCAGGUUCAAAUCCUGUUGUCAGCA